rnacentral:rRNA from 1 species
UACGUAGGGGGCAAGCGUUGUCCGGAUUUAUUGGGCGUAAAGCGCUCGCAGGCGGUCGUUCAAGUCGCGUGUGAAAGCCCCCGGCUCAACUGGGGAGGGUCACGCGAUACUGAUCGACUGGAAGGCAGGAGAGGGUAGUGGAAUUCCCGGUGUAGUGGUGAAAUGCGUAGAUAUCGGGAGGAACACCAGUGGCGAAGGCGACUACCUGGCCUGUUCUUGACGCUGAGGCGCGAAAGCUAGGGUAGCAAACGGG